GGAAGCUGGCGAGAGAUCUGUGAUAAGUAGAAAUGCAUCCUUCACUGGUGUUUAAGAAGGAGUCUGCCAUCAUGUGAUGAUAACCAACGUCUGGUGACAGACACAUGGUCCGCCAGAGGAUUGCCAGAAUCAAAUUCUCCACAUAAUUCCACUUGUUUAUGAGUCAUUAGUGAGGAGCGGAUGAGUAAUAUUUAGCACUUCAUCAGCUCUUUUCUAAAUAAGCUUUUCCAUAUUUUUUGCAUCGCCUUGCAAAAAAUAUGACUAUCCCUUUAACUUUUUGACAUUUUGUCUCCUCAUAAUCAUAAAUUCAAUGUAUUUUUAGUGGUAUUUUAUCUCAUAGACCAGCAAAAAAAGUCAUAUAUAUAAUUGCAAAGUUGAGGUUUUUCUUGUUUUUACAAGUAAAAAUCAGAAAAUUGUGACAUAUGUUUGCAUCCAUUCAUUCUGAGUCAACACUUUGAAUACUUUUUGCUGCAGUUAAGACACGUAUUUCCAUUACAAAGGCGCACACAGAAGGAAAUAUAGCUGGAUUAAAGAAUCUGAGCUCUAGGACAUUGGGAGCAUUGGGAACAUUGGGAGGUUUAUGCUGGUAGGAGGCGACCAAAAAAAGCCAGUCACCACUUGGGCUGCAUCCACGCAUGCAGCCGUCUGCCAAGGACCAAAUUACGCUCGUCAUACAUCAUGUGACACAAACACAUAAAAGAAUCUUAUCUUUCAUCCCUUUUCUAAACAUCUUAAUCCCUUCUGACUUCCUCAAUCAUUUUCUCUCCCUCCUGACAGCCGGCCGGGAACAGAUUUGGUGUCCCUACAGUUAAACUUUAUUUUGAUGUGUAUGAAUAAGGCCAGAGUUGAAGUCGCAUAAAUAAGGAAGACCACACAGUGAAGGCAGACAAAGAAUCUUUCCCAAAGAGAGCCUCUGGGUACUGUGUGUUUAUCUGUGUUUAUUGCUAUUCCGGAAGCAAUUUGACUCCUACUAACAACUGUGGAAAGGCAGAUGCGCCCCUUCCCGCACGGCGUCCCCUCCACAGCCGGAAGCUUCUUGGUCAGACACACCAUCUGUCCCUGGCGGAUCACGGCGCACCACAGGCGGGAGCAAACGUCCAUGCCCGGGCAGACCGUGUACUCGAGGCCGAAGGCCAGGCGGCACUGUCGGACGGCGUCGUAGCUCUGGCCUGGGAGUUCCUCCGGGCCGAGGAGGGGCUGACGAGGGGAGUCCAGGAGACACUCGGCUGUUGAAGCAAGUCGGUGAUGGUGGACGAGGUGCAGCGGCUCCAGGGCUUGGAGGCGUCGAUGGAGGUGAGAAUGGACGACAUGAGCUGCUUGUGACUGUUGACCCCAAAGCGUUCCUCGCAGAACUUCG